GAGCACAUGGAAAGUCUUGCACAGAUGGCCGCAUCACAGAAUGAAGUGAGUGCCGCUGACGGGGAGACAGACGUGUAUAGAGAAGUACAUCAAGGGCGUGUCUGCAGUAGAGAGUAUACUCACUCUGGAUAGGCUGAGACAGGAGGUAGCUGUGAAAGAAUUAAUUGCCAAGCAAGGGCAGUCACUCCGUAAAACCACAAGUGUUCCAAAUAUACACCAGUUCAUGACUACACCACCAAGAUUAGAGGGGAGG